rnacentral:rRNA from 1 species
UACGUAGGGACCGAGCGUUGUCCGGAUUCAUUGGGCGUAAAGAGCUCGUAGGCGGCUGUUCAAGUCGAACGUGAAAACUCGGAGCUCAACUCCGAGCCUGCGUUCGAUACUGGACGGCUAGAGUCUGGUAGGGGGAUCUGGAAUUCCUGGUGUAGCGGUGAAAUGCGUAGAUAUCAGGAGGAACACCUGCGGUGUAGACGGCUUACUGGACCAUAACUGACGCUGAGGCACGAAAGCGUGGGUAGCAAACAGG